AUUGAACGCUGGCGGCAGGCCUAACACAUGCAAGUCGAACGAGUGGCGGACGGGUGAGUAAUGCCUGGGAAACUGCCUGAUGGAGGGGGAUAACUACGGGAAACGGUAGCUAAUACCGCAUAUCAUCGGAUGUGCCCAGAUGGGAUUAGCUAGAAGGUGGGGUAACGGCUCACCUAGGCGACGAUCCCUAGCUGGUCUGAGAGGAUGACCAUCCACAGUGGAACUGAGGCACGGGCCAUACUCCUACGGGAGGCAGCAGUGGGGAAUAUUGCACAAUGGGCGCAAGCCUGAUACAGCCAUGCCGCGUGUAUGAGGAAGGCCUUCGUGUUGUAAAGUACUUUCAGCGGGGAGGCGUUACCCACAGAAGAAGCACCGGCUAACUCCGUGCCAGCAGCCGCGGUAAUUC
rnacentral:rRNA from 1 species